rnacentral:misc_RNA from 1 species
UCCGGUUUAUCACCGGCAGUCCCCUAUGAGUCCCCGGCCGAACCGCUGGUAACAUAGGGCAAGGGUUGCGCUCGUUGCGGGACUUAACCCAACAUCUCACGACACGAGCUGACGACAGCCAUGCAGCACCUGUCCUGGUGUCCCGAAGGAGGGCCCCUGUUUCCAGGAGCUUUCACCAGGAUGUCAAGCCUAGGUAAGGUGGGGAUGACGUGUCCUUGAUAGG